rnacentral:rRNA from 1 species
GGACGUGUGGUCUUAUUUCGUUGGUUUCUAGGACCGCCGUAAUGAUUAAUGGGGACAGUCGGGGGCAUCAGUAUUCAAUCGUCAGAGGUGAAAUUCUUGGAUCGAUUGAAGACUGACUGCUGCGAAAGCAUUUGCCAAGGAUGUUUUCAUUUAUCAGGAACGAAAGUUAGGGGAUCGAAGACGAUCAGAUACCGUCGUAGUCUUGACCAUAAACUAUGCCGACUAGGAAUCGGACGGUGUUAUUUCUUGACCCGUUCGGCACCUUACGAGAAAUCAAAGUGCUUGGGCUCCAGGGGGAGUAUGGUCGCAAGGCUGAAACUUAAAGAAAUUGACGGAAGGGCACCACCAGGGGUGGAGCCUGCGGCUUAAUUUGACUCAACACGGGGAAACUCACCAGGUCCAGACACAACGAGGAUUGACAGAUUGAGAGCUCUUUCUUGAUUUUGUGGGUGGUGGUGCAUGGCCGUUCUUAGUUGGUGGAGUGAUUUGUCUGCUUAAUUGCGAUAACGAACGAGACCUUAACCUGCUAACUAGUCCGUAUUACCCCGGU